ensembl:lncRNA
AAACACCCUGAAGAGGACACAGGCAAGAAAGGCAACUUACUUGAGACUCACAACAGACACUGAUUCAAUGACCUAGUCAUACUUGUACAAGCUUUGGAAAACUCACAGGCACAGAUGAAGCUGGGGUACACAAACUGUAAAGCCAGGUGGAAAAGGUUCUGAUAAGAUGUCUUCCUAUUCCCCCAGUACGUUAAAGGAUCCUCUGAUCUUGGAAUGUUUCUCUCCAACACUCUCCACAAUACUAAGGGGUUGGCAGUCCUUUAUAAUAAAAUUCAGGACUGCCUGGUCCAGAACAGUCUUCCUAGAUGCUUGAUUUCAAAAUAAUAAAACACAUAUUAAUAAAAAAAAGCUGUUCAGUGUCAAUAUAGGCCUACCUGUGUUCAUUCUCGGUGUGUUUGUCUCCUCAUUUUCAUGUUUGGCUCUGUAAUGCCUAAACACUGAGGAGGUGCUUUUGUUUGUGUAAGAAAUGCAGAACAGAUGCGACAUUUAACCUGCAUUAAAUGAAAUAAAUAAUUUACACUUCAACUCACAUUGCUGUUUUUCCUAUUCUGAUAGAUUACACUGAAACAAAGACAGACAAACUAUUACCUUAUUUGCAGUUAAAAGAUCAAAAU